rnacentral:lncRNA from 1 species
GCUUGUUGAAUUUGAGGAGCCAUUUGUGAACCAGACUGUGGAUUGAAGCUCAUAGUGUUGUACUGUGCAGGUGGUCCAGUAGGAGUUUGAGUUGUAGGCUGACCAACUGGUGCUGUGGAUCCUUGCUGUUGAUUGAAACUACCAUAAAAAUUAGCGCCAGGCUGUGCAGGCUGACUGGGAGCAGGAAAACCUGCCUGUUGUGCAGUGCCCAUCUGAGACGGAAAACCAUAAAGGGAAGUGUGUUGGCCACCUGGGUGUGGAAAACCUGCCUGUGGUGCAUGUUGUCCAGUUUGUUCGGGAUAGCCUGUCAUGGAUGAAGGUUGGCUCAUUUGCCCUUGGAAACCAGCCUGUGGUGCCUGUUGUCCAGCUUGUUCGGGAUAGCCUGUCAUGGAUGAAGGUUGGCCCAUUUGCCCUUGGAAACCUGUCUGUGAUGAAGGGUUCACAGUCUGAGCUGGGAACCCAGUAGGUGAAGAUCCAGAUGGCGGGAAAAUAUCUGCUAAAAUAUCAUUGUCCACAAAGCCAAAGUUAUCGACUGCCUCCGUGUUUGGAGAAGUUUGUUGGCGUGGAUCAGAAUGAUUUGAGCUAGGAUGGAAGGAAGACAUGGAAUCAACAUUCUGCUGUUGAGAUGGGAAACUGUCUG